rnacentral:rRNA from 1 species
UCGNACGGUAAGGUCCCUUCGGGGNNACACGAGUGGCGCACGGGUGCGUAACGCGUAUACAACCUACCCCAGAGUGGGGGAUAGCCUAGAGAAAUUUAGAUUAAUACCCCAUAUGCUUACGAGAACACAUGUUCAUGUGAGGAAAACUCCGGUGCUAUGGGAUGGGUAUGCGUGACAUUAGUUAGUUGGCGAGGUAACGGCUCCCCAAGGCAACGAUGUCUAGCUGGUCUGAGAGGAUGAUCAGCCACACUGGUACUGAGACACGGACCAGACUCCUACGGGAGGCAGCAGUAGGGAAUAUUGGACAAUGGGGGCAACCCUGAUCCAGCCAUGCCGCGUGGAGGAAGACGGCCCUCUGGGUUGUAAACUUCUUUUAUAUGCGAAUAAACCGGUGGUAAACUCGCCGUUGAAGGUAGCAUAUGAAUAAGCACCGGCUAACUCCGUGCCAGCAGCCGCGGUAAUACGGAGGGUGCAAGCGUUGUCCGGAUUUAUUGGGUUUAAAGGGUUCGUAGGCGGUAUUGUAAGUCAGUGGUGAAAUCCUUCGGCUCAACCGAAGAACUGCCAUUGAUACUGCAGUACUAGAGUAUAAUUGAGGUAGUUGGAAUGCGUAGUGUAGCGGUGAAAUGCAUAGAUAUUACGCAGAACGCCAAUUGCGAAGGCAGAUUACUAAAUUAUUACUGACGCUGAUGAACGAAAGCGUGGGGAGCGAACAGGANUAGAUACCCUGGUAGUCCACGCCGUAAACGAUGGUUACCGGGUGUUCGGNCUAAUUGCGGGUUGAGUGCCUGANCGAAAGUGUUAAGUAACCCACCUGGGGAGUACGUCCGCANNGAUGAAACUCA